CCUUCGGAAUGAGAGAGUGGCGGACGGGUGAGUAACGCGUAGGAAUCUGUCCGGUAGUGGGGGAUAACGUUCCGAAAGGAACGCUAAUACCGCAUACGCCCUAUGGGGGAAAGCGGGGGAUCUUCGGACCUCGCGCUAUCGGAGGAGCCUGCGUCGGAUUAGCUAGUUGGUAGGGUAAAGGCCUACCAAGGCGACGAUCCGUAGCUGGUCUGAGAGGAUGAUCAGCCACACCGGAACUGAGACACGGUCCGGACUCCUACGGGAGGCAGCAGUGGGGAAUAUUGCGCAAUGGGGGCAACCCUGACGCAGCCAUGCCGCGUGUGUGAAGAAGGCCUUCGGGUUGUAAAGCACUUUCAGAGGGGAGGAAAGGGCGCUGGCUAAUAUCCAGUGCAGUUGACGCUACCCUCAGAAGAAGCACCGGCUAAUUCCGUGCCAGCAGCCGCGGUAAUACGGAAGGUGCAAGCGUUAAUCGGAAUUACUGGGCGUAAGCGCGCGUAGGCGGCUUGGUAAGUCGGAUGUGAAAGCCCCGGGCUCAACCUGGGAACUGCAUUCGAUACUGCC
rnacentral:rRNA from 1 species